UACGAAGGGGGCUAGCGUUGCUCGGAAUCACUGGGCGUAAAGCGCACGUAGGCGGAUUGUUAAGUCAGGGGUGAAAUCCUGGAGCGCAACUCCAGAACUGCCUUUGAUACUGGCGAUCUUGAGUCCGGGAGAGGUGAGUGGAACUCCGAGUGUAGAGGUGAAAUUCGUAGAUAUUCGGAAGAACACCAGUGGCGAAGGCGGCUCACUGGCCCGGUACUGACGCUGAGGUGCGAAAGCGUGGGGAGCAAACAGG
rnacentral:rRNA from 1 species